rnacentral:lncRNA from 1 species
GUUGUUUUCUACAGUGUGGAAGCUUUGUUUUUUUUCCUCUUUGCAAUCAAUCUAGCUGCUGCUCACUCUUUGGGUCCGCCAUUGCCUUUAUGGGCUGUUAACGCUCACCGCGAAGGUCUGCAGCUUCCCUCCUGAAGCCAGCGAAACCACGAACCGACCGGGAGGAGCGAAUAACUCCAGACGCGCCACCUUAAUAGCUGUAACAGUCACCUCGAAGGUCCGCAACUUCACUCCUAAGCCAGCGAGAUCACGAACCCCACCAGAAGGAAGAAAUUCCGAACAUAUCCGCACAUCAGAAGGCACAAAUUCCGGACACGCCGCCUUUAAGAACUGUAACACUCACAGCGAGGGUCCGCGGCUUCAUUCUUGAAGUCAGUGAGACCAAGAACCCGCCAAUUCCGGACACACUAUGAUCAUACCACUGCACUCCAGCCUGGAGUACAAGAGUACUGCUCUGUCCCCCAGGCUGGAGUGCAGCCCUGUGACUUGGCUCACUACAGCUUCAAACUUCUGAGCUCAAGCAAUCCUCCUACCUCAGCCUCCCAAGCAGCCGGGACUACAGGCAAGUGCCACCACAUCUAGCUAACUUUUUGUAUUUUUUGUAGAGACGGAGUCUCGCUAUGUUGCCCAGGCUGGUCUUGAACUCCUAGGAUCAAGUGAUUCUCCCACCUCAGCCUCCCAAAGUGCGUGAGUCACUAUGCCUGGCCAUUAACUACUCUUUUCUUUUUCUUUUUUUUUUUUUUUGAGACGGAGUCUCGCUCUGUCUCCCAGGCUGGAGUACAGUCAUGCAAUCUUGGCUCACUGCAACCUCCGCCUCCUGGGUU